rnacentral:rRNA from 1 species
AGCUCCAAUAGCGUAUAUUAAAGUUGUUGUGGUUAAAAAGCUCGUAGUUGGAUCUUGGCAGGCUUGGGGCGGUUUGCUUGCUAGUAUUACUGCCCUAUAGUCUGUAGUUUUGCCAGAGGUUUUAGGGUGCUCUUAAUCGAGUGUCCUGGGAUGCUGGCAGGUUUACUUUGAAAAAAUUAGAGUGCUCAAAGCAGGCUUUUACGCCUGAAUAUUCGUGCAUGGAAUAAUAAGAUAGGACUUUGGUGGUUUAUUUUGUUGGUUUGCACGCCGAAGUAAUGAUUAAUAGGAGCAGUUGGGGAUGUCCGUAUUCGAUUGUCAGAGGUGAAAUUCUUGGAUUUAUUGAAGACGAACUACUGCGAAAGCAUUCAUCAAGGAUGUUU